AAACCAACCAAGGAAGGAGGGGAUUCAGGAAGCAGAAGAGAUGAGUAGGCAUUGGCCACCAGCUGCCGUUCCCUGGACCACAGCUCUAAACCCACAGGAGCAGUAUGAACCAUCUUUAGAGACAGUCUGGAU
rnacentral:lncRNA from 1 species